rnacentral:rRNA from 1 species
AGAGUUUGAUCCUGGCUCAGAGCGAACGCUGGCGGCAUGCUUAACACAUGCAAGUCGCACGAGGGUUUCGGCCCUAGUGGCGGACGGGUGAGUAACGCGUAGGUAUCUAUCCUGGGGUGGGGGAUAACAGCGGGAAACUGCUGCUAAUACCGCAUGACACCUGUGGGUCAAAGGCGCGAGUCGCCUUGGGAGGAGCCUGCGUCCGAUUAGCUAGUUGGUGGGGUAACUGCCUACCAAGGCGACGAUCGG